UACGUAGGGUGCAAGCGUUAAUCGGAAUUACUGGGCGUAAAGCGUGCGCAGGCGGUUCUAUAAGACAGAUGUGAAAUCCCCGGGCUCAACCUGGGAAUGGCAUUGGAUACUGGCUCGCUAGAGUGCGGUAGAGGGUGGUGGAAUUCCCGGUGUAGCAGUGAAAUGCGUAGAGAUCGGGAGGAACAUCUGAGGCGAAGGCGGCCACCGGGACCAACACUGACACUGAGGCACGAAAGCGUGGGGAGCAAACAGG
rnacentral:rRNA from 1 species